CGGAGGGAUCAUUACACAAUACAAUAUGAAGGCUGUCCGCAGCUGGAGUAUUUUAUUACCCUUGUCUUUUGCGCACUUGUUGUUUCCUGGGCGGGUUCGCUCGCCACCAGGACCACCAAAUAAACCUUUUUUAUGCAGUUGCAAUCAGCGUCAGUACAAACAAUGUAAAUCAUUUACAACUUUCAACAACGGAUCUCUUGGUUCUGGCAUCGAUGAAGAACGCAGCGAAAUGCGAUACGUAGUGUGAAUUGCAGAAUUCAGUGAAUCAUCGAAUCUUUGAACGCACAUUGCGCCCUUUGGUAUUCCAAAGGGCAUGCCUGUUCGAGCGUCAUUUGUACCCUCAAGCUUUGCUUGGUGUUGGGCGUUUUUGUCUUUGGUCGCCCAAAGACUCGCCUUAAAGUGAUUGGCAGCCGGCCUUUCUGGUUUCGCAGCGCAGCACAUUUUUGCGCUUGCCAUCAGCAAAACGGCAAUCCAUCAAGCCUCCUUCUCACGUUUGACCUCGGAUCAGGUAGGGAUACCCGCUGAACUUAAGCAUAUCAAUAAG
rnacentral:rRNA from 1 species